rnacentral:lncRNA from 1 species
CGGUGGGCGCGCGCUCGCGCUGCGGCCCACGUGACCCGUACGCAGGACAGAGGCUCCCACGUGACCGGUAGGGCGGCGGGGUAGGUGGAGGGAUUAACUGUGCGAGGUAACGGUGACCACUGGAAGCCUUUGGGACGUUUGCUGCUGCUGUUCUCCACCAGGGGACGAGGAGGCGAACUAGAGGGCGGAAAGCGCUUCCGAUGCUUUCAGUGUUUUACACGUUCUCCACUCCGUUAGGGAAGUACUUUGUAAAGUUCCUAAGUAUUGACUUUCCCCAACCGCCAUGUUGGUUCUAGAGGGAGCUCGCGAGAGGCUGUGGGCUUUGUUCGCGAGAUCUCCCGAUUCUCGCGGGACUUUGUUGGCAGAGCAGUUCUCCUGGAUGGCGGAGCCGGGGGGUUCCGGGGGCCUGGGACCCGCAGCUCUUUGGACCAGAUACCAAGUUGUGCUAGUACAACCAUACAAAUAAUUAACACCUGAAGUUUCAGUGUAACAUGGACGCUAACAGUGAUGACAGAUAAAUACAGACACUUGGGAAUCAGAUACUAGGCGAAACACUCCCUAAAAGGUAAGAAAAAAAAUGUAAUCUUAAUUAAGGCCAAGUGGGAUCUAGUCAGAAGUAAUUGACUGAAGUUUCUUUUUCAGGCUUUAAGAAACACAUCUGCAGGAACCUGCCUGUCUUAAAACUGGUAGAACUCAGCUGUAAGUAUCAGUUCUUCUGUGUACACAGCAGUUGCAGAGGAAGUUCUUGUAGUGAGCCCUGAUGAAGUAGAGCGGUGAUGCGACCAGCUAGCACUUGCCAGAGUGCUAGAAAGUGUGCAUCCGCAUCUGUGGCCAGAGGCACACGUAGUUGGGAACCUUCCUUACUGCUCAUGAAUAACACCACCAUCACGCACUAUAGGUUGUACCCUUUCAC